UACGAAGGGGGCUAGCGUUGUUCGGAAUCACUGGGCGUAAAGCGCUUGUAGGCGGAUCGUUGUGUCGGCGGUGAAAGCCCCGGGCUCAACCUGGGAAUGGCCGUUGAAACUGGCGAACUGGAGUGUGGCAGAGGGGGGUGGAAUUCCGCGUGUAGCAGUGAAAUGCGUAGAGAUGCGGAGGAACACCGAUGGCGAAGGCAGCCCCCUGGGCUGACACUGACGCUCAGGCACGAAAGCGUGGGGAGCAAACAGG
rnacentral:rRNA from 1 species